rnacentral:rRNA from 1 species
GGUCAAGCUACUAAGGGUGUACGGUGGAUGCUUGGGCGUCGAGAGCCGACGAAAGACGCAGCGGGCUGCGAAAAGCCUCGGGGAGCCGCGAGCUGGCUUUGAUCCGAGGAUCUCUUAGAUUCGGAAACGAACUACAGAUGAUUCUGUAGUAUCGGCUAUUGAAUCCAUAGAUAGCCGAAGGUAACGAGGGGAACUGAUACAUCUAAGUACCCUCAGGAAAAGAAAGAAAACUCGACUUCCUCAGUAGCGGCGAGCGAACGGGAAUCAGCCUAAACCGAUGGCAUGCCAAGUCUGAGCACGUUGUGCCGUCGGUGUCGUGGGACCUGCAGUUCGUGGCUCAGUGCGGACGCAGAGUUACAAAACAAUGUGCUAGCCGAACGUUCUGGAAAGGGCGACCGUAGAGGGUGAUAGUCCCUUAGGCGACAGCACAGAGUCUCUGGUAGGUAUCCCAAGUAACACCCGCCUCGUGAAACCGGGUGCGAAUCUGGGGGGCCCACCCCCCAAGGCUAAGUACUACUCGACGACCGAUAGCGUAAUAGUAGCGCGAGCGAAAAGUGAAAAGAACCCCUGUUAGGGGAGUGAAAUAGUACCUGAAACCGUACACUUACAAGCAGUGAGAGGGCUAUGCCGCAAGGAAAGCCUGAUCGCGUGCCUUUUGCAUAAUGAUCCGGCGAGUUACUCUAUGUGGCAAGGUUAAGGAGUUCAGCUCCGAAGCCGAAGCGAAAGCGAGUGCGAAUAGCGCGAAUAAAGUCACCUGGAGUAGACCCGAAAACGGUCGAUCUAUCCAUGGCCAGGUUGAAGCGGAGGUAAAACUCCGUGGAGGACCGAACCGUUGUAUGUUGAAAAAUGCUCGGACGAGCUGUGGAUAGGAGCAAAAGACUUAUCAAGGCCGUAAAUAGCUGGUACUCCCCGAAAUAGCUUUAGGGCUAGCCUCGUGUAAUUCUUCGUCGGGGGUAGAGCCACUGAUCGGGUUUGGGGGUCCACCAGACUACCCUACCUAAUCAAACUCCGAAUACCGAUGAAGUUACCACGGGAGUCAGAGCGUGGGGGAUAAGCUUCACGCUCAAAAGGGAAACAGCCCAGACCGCCGGCUAAGGUCCCAAAUCCGGGUUAAGUGUCGUAAAGGAAGUAGACUUGCUAAGACAGCUGGGAUGUUGGCUUAGAAGCAGCCAUCAUUUAAAAAGUGCGUAAUAGCUUACCAGUCGAGCAAUUCUGCGCCGAAAAUGAACGGGACUCAAACUCGGAACCGAAGCCGCGGGAGCCAGACUGCUGUUGCAGUUUGUCUCGGUAGGGGAGCAUUCCGCCCUAGGACGAAGGGAGACGGAAACGACUCCUGGACGAAGCGGAAGAGAUUAUGCCGGAAUAAGUAGCGAGAAAAUGAGUGAGAAUCUCAUUCGCCGUAAACCUAAGGUUUCCUGGGCCAGGCAAAUCCGCCCAGGGUUAGUCGGACCCUAAGGCGAGGCUGAAAGGCGUAGUCGAUGGGUGACGGGUUAAUAUUCCCGUACCGCACACUGAGGUUAUUACCGAUGGAGUGACAGAGUACCGAUGGCUGGCCUGCCGCGAGUUGUGCAGGUGAAAGCCGGAGAGGUCGCUGUAGGCAAAUCCGCAGCGUAUGGCCUCGAAGGUGAGACGAGCUCCUAGCGGGCGAAGUAGUCUGAAGUGCUCUCGAGAAAACCUUCUAGGGACGAGGUGUGCGACCGUACCUAAACCGACACAGGUGGGUGAGGUGAAUAUCCUAAGGCGCUCGGGUGAACCAUCCUGAAGGAACUAGGCAAUCUAGCUCCGUAACUUCGGGACAAGGAGCGCUCCUGGGGGUCUAGUAUUUCUAAUAUUGGGCCUUCGGGAGCCGCAGAGAAAUGGGCCUGCCGACUGUUUACUAAAAACACAGGUCUGUGCAAAGUCAGGAAAGAUGACGUAUACAGACUGACGCGUGCCCGAUGCCGGAAGGUUAAGGGGAGCGGUCAGCCGAAAGGCGAAGCUGCGAACCGAAGCCCCGGUGAAUGGCGGCCGUAACUAUGACGGUCCUAAGGUAGCGAAGUUCCUUGUCGGGUAAGUUCCGACCCGCAUGAAUCGCGUAACGAGUGGGCCGCUGUCUCCAGGAUGGGCUCGGCGAAAUUGAAGUAGUGGUGAAGAUGCCACUUUCCCGCGCCAAGACGGAAAGACCCCGUGAACCUUUACUGCAACUUAGCAUUGGCUUUUGGCUCGACAUGUGUAGCAUAGGUGGGAGACUGUGAGGCCUGGGCGCUAGCUCGGGCGGAGUCAUCAGUGAAAUACCACUCUUGUCGUGCUAGAAUUCUAACGGUGACCCGUGAAUCCGGGCAUCGGACAGUGUUAGGUGGGCAGUUUGACUGGGGCGGUCUCCUCCCAAAAGGUAACGGAGGAGUCCGAAGGUGCGCUCAACGCGGUUGGCAAUCGCGUGCAGAGGGUAAAGCUACAAGCGCGCUUGACUGAGAGAGCAAUCGCUCGAUCAGGUACGAAAGUAGGGCUUAGUGAUCCGGUGUAAACCGUGUGGAAGGGACAUCGCUCAUCAGACAAAAGGUACUCCGGGGAUAACAGGCUGAUCUCCCCCAAGAGUUCGUAUCGACGGGGAGGUUUGGCACCUCGAUGUCGGCUCAUCGCAUCCUGGGGCUGUAGGAGGUCCCAAGGGUUUGGCUGUUCGCCAAUUAAAGCGGUACGCGAGCUGGGUUUAGACCGUCGUGAGACAGGUCGGUCCCUAUCUGACGUGGGUGUAGGAUGAUUGCGGAGGUUUGCCCCUAGUACGAGAGGAUUGGGGUGGACGGUCCUCUGGUGUUCCAGUUGUCACGCUAGUGGCAGCGCUGGGUAGCUAAGACCGGAACGGAUAAGUGCUGAAUGCAUCUAAGCGCGAAGCCCUCUCCAAGACGAGUCAUCCCUACCAGUCCCCUGGGAGACUACCAGGUUGAUAGGCCGGCGGUGUAAGCGUGGUGACACGUUGAGCUUACCGGUACUAAUCGGACGAUCGGCUUAGCCAC